AUACGGAGGAUGCAAGCGUUAUCCGGAUUUAUUGGGUUUAAAGGGUGCGUAGGCGGUUUGCUAAGCGGGAGGUGAAAUGCCGGCGCUCAACGGCGGAAGUGCCUCCCGAACUGGUGGACUGGAAUGACUCUGCCGUGGGAGGAAUGUGUAGUGUAGCGGUUAAAUGCUUAGAGAUUACACAGAACACCGAUUGCGAAGGCAUCUCACGAAGGGUUGAUUGACGCUGAGGCACGAAAGCGUGGGGAUCAAACAGGAUUAGAUACCCUGGUAGUCCACGCAGUAAACGAUGAUGGCUAACCGCUGGUUUUUUCGGAUCAGUGGCCAAGCGAAAGCGAUAAGCCAUCCACCUGGGGAGUACGACCGCAAGGUUGAAACUCAAAUGAAUUGACGGGG
rnacentral:rRNA from 1 species